rnacentral:rRNA from 1 species
AUUGAACGCUGGCGGCAGGCCUAACACAUGCAAGUCGAGCGGAUGAAGGGAGCUUGCUCCUGGAUUCAGCGGCGGACGGGUGAGUAAUGCCUAGGAAUCUGCCUGGUAGUGGGGGAUAACGUCCGGAAACGGGCGCUAAUACCGCAUACGUCCUGAGGGAGAAAGUGGGGGAUCUUCGGACCUCACGCUAUCAGAUGAGCCUAGGUCGGAUUAGCUAGUUGGUGGGGUAAAGGCCUACCAAGGCGACGAUCCGUAACUGGUCUGAGAGGAUGAUCAGUCACACUGGAACUGAGACACGGUCCAGACUCCUACGGGAGGCAGCAGUGGGGAAUAUUGGACAAUGGGCGAAAGCCUGAUCCAGCCAUGCCGCGUGUGUGAAGAAGGUCUUCGGAUUGUAAAGCACUUUAAGUUGGGAGGAAGGGCAGUAAGUUAAUACCGUGCUGUUUUGACGUUACCAACAGAAUAAGCACCGGCUAACUUAGUG